rnacentral:rRNA from 1 species
UACGUAGGGACCAAGCGUUGUUCGGAUUUACUGGGCGUAAAGGGCGCGUAGGCGGCAAUUCAAGUCAUCUGUGAAAUCUCCGGGCUUAACCCGGAACGGUCAGAUGAUACUGCUUUGCUAGAGUGCGGAAGGGGCAAUCGGAAUUCUUGGUGUAGCGGUGAAAUGCGUAGAUAUCAAGAGGAACACCUGAGGUGAAGACGGGUUGCUGGGCCGACACUGACUCUGAUAGCGCGAAAGCCAGGGGAGCAAACGGG